AAUCACGCUGGCGGCGUGCUAACACAUGCAAGUCGAACGCGAAAGCGGCUUCGGCCGCAAGUAGAGUGGCAAACGGGUGAGUAACGCGUGGGUGACCUGCCUUCGAGUGGGGGAUAACGCUUCGAAAGAGGCGCUAAUACCGCAUAACAUCCCGUCUUUGGAAAGAUGGUGACCAAAGCUGGGGAUCGCAAGACCUGGCGCUUGAUGAGGGGCCCGCGUCCGAUUAGCUGUUGGUGGGGUAACGGCUCACCAAGGCGACAAUCGGUAGCCGGCCUGAGAGGGCGUACGGCCACACUGGGACUGAGACACGGCCCAGACUCCUACGGGAGGCAGCAGUGGGGAAUGUUCGCAAUGGGCGCAAGCCUGACGACGCAACGCCGCGUGGAGGACGAAAACCUUCGGGUCGUAAACUCCUGUCGAGUGGGACGAAACUACCUGGGUUAAUACCCUGGGUGGCUGACGGUACCGCUAAAGGAAGCCCCGGUAACUCCGUGCCACGCAGCCGCGGUAAUACGGGGGGGGCAACGCGUUGUUCGGAUUUACUGGGCGUAAGAGCUCGUAGGCGGCUUGUUUAGUCGGACGUGAAAUCCCUCGGCUCAACUGAGGAACUGCGUCCGAUACUGGCAGGCUUGAAUCCGGGANNAGGGAUGCGGAAAUUCCA
rnacentral:rRNA from 2 species